GACGAACGCUGGCGGCGUGCUUAACACAUGCAAGUCGAACGGAAAGGCCCUGCUUUUGUGGGGUGCUCGAGUGGCGAACGGGUGAGUAACACGUGAGUAACCUGCCCUUGACUUUGGGAUAACUUCAGGAAACUGGGGCUAAUACCGUAUAGGAGCUCCUGCUGCAUGGUGGGGGUUGGAACGUUUCGGCGGUUGGGGAUGGACUCGCGGCUUAUCAGCUUGUUGGUGGGGUAGUGGCUUACCAAGGCUUUGACGGGUAGCCGGCAUGAGAGGGUGACCGGCGACAAUGGGACUGAGAGACGGACCAGAGUCGUACGGGAGGCAGCAGUGGGGAAUAUGGCACAGUGGGCGGAAGCGUGAGGCAGAAACGCCGCGGGCGGGAUGACGGCCUGCGGGUUGUAAACCGCUGUAGCCUGUGACGAAGCGUGAGUGACGGUAAUGGGUAAAGAAGCACCGGCUAACUACGUG
rnacentral:rRNA from 1 species